UGAAAAAACACAUCGUGGUUAUUAAAUCAAACUGUAUCAACUUGAUGAGAAUUCUUAAAGAGAACUGUUUAAAGAAAAUUUACGGAUUAAAAGCAAAUUUUGUGGUUCGAAACUAAAUUAAAGUUUCGGUAAAAAUAACAUUAAAAUAAAGCAAUAAAGAAAGUAACACAUUUUAAGCAUAUAACAAUUGGCAGGGCAGACAAUGAAAAGGAAAUAGCAUAUACAAAACGUACAGUAAUUCAUAAAAAUAUUUGAACACUUAGAGUUAGUAGGAAACUUUUACGAAUAUGUUAUGAUAUUACAUACAUAACAUAUUGUAUUAAGUAAAAACCAUUACCAUUAUAGCGAUGAUAAUGAGUCAUACUUCAUUACAGCGCUAAUUAAAUUUCAAAAAGCUUUACAUAGCAUGCAUAAUAUGCUAUUCAUGAAAGAUUUCCAUAAGUAUCCAAAUACUUUUGCGAAUUAGUGAUAAUGAGUGCCAAUUUUUGUUAAAUUCUGAUAUAAAAGACAAUUUAAACAAAUAUUUGAUGUCUACUCCCUCCUUUUUUUCUUUUUUCUCUUUCCUUUCCCUUUCUCAAAAAAAAAAAGAAAGAGAAAGAAGAAAAAGAAAGACGAAAGAAUGCUAUAUAUGGAAACAUUUUGUAUCGUUGAACAAUCUUCGGUUUUGCUUCGUUUUUAUCCUCAUUCAAACAGAAAAUAUUUUCUAUGUUGAUUAUGUCGUAUUUGUUUAAUAAACUAGAAGGACUUGUCUUUAAUUCGUUGAGUUUGCCUAUUUUCCUAAUGUGUACCCUGAUUUAUGAAAUAAUAGAAAGAAAAGAAUUUGAUACACAUCUUCAUUCAUUAACGCAAAGUCUUUAAUAUAAGGAAAUUGUAUCUUAUUGUUAGUUACCUGAAAUAUUUGAAAUAAAUGAUGAAAUAUUUUUUUUUAGAUUUAUAAUUAGAAAUUUUAAAAGUUGAAAAAUAUUACAAUUUUUUAACGUAAAAUAGUUCCUUUUCUUUAAUAAAUUUAAAUGGAUGUAAUAGUUAUUCGGUUAUCUUUUCUUACGAUAUCCAAAAAGGAAUAGAAACAAAUUUUUAGGGAAUAUUGAGUAAUAUUUUGAAUAUUCAUAUCUUAUCUCGGGUUGCUCGCGUGUUAAAAAUAUUUGGAAAGUGUAACAGCGUUGUUCUAGAGUUAAUAUCAAAGUAGUAAAGUAUUUAACUACUUUUUUCACUUUUGACACAAUAUGGCACCAGAUCCAUUUUCAUGACUCUAUUGCCUACCUUACUCACCACUUCACCACCCGUCAACCGCGAACCUACUCUACCCUUACUCUUAGUCCUUCUCAGAAACAUAAUCCCUAUAAUUUUUACCAAUUAAUUUACUAUCAAAUUCCGCCAUUUUCACACAUCUCCUUUCCAAUUAAAAUAAACAAGAGCACAAAAGGUUCAAUAGAUAUCACCCACAUAUCCAAUUACUCAUCGUUUAGUUAAUACAACUUGUGUAUUCGCAGUUAUUAUUUUAAGGUUAAGCUUUUGAGGAGACAAAAAUUAUAGGUAGAUUUUUAAUUACGUGAUUAGUUAGCAAUUUAAACCUUCCUGUUGUUCAAAGGUUUGUUACAUUUGUAUUAAAUAUAAUAAUUUCAUACCUGUACAUACUUUUCUCCCAAUAAUAUUAAAGUAAACUAAAUAUAUUUUUCAGAUGGCGCUGCUACUUAAUACAGAAAUAAGAACUUUAACGUUAACCUUUCUCAGAUCAGACUGCAACCGUGAAGAAAUUAGUCUGAUAUGCUACUAGUAAUAUCGGUAGCAUAACACAGCUUUGUAACUAGGCAAAUCUCAUUAAUAACGAAUUAAAGACUCAAUGCGAUAUUUACUGAUUUGAUUUUUAUUAGAUAAAUGUCUCCAAGUUGGUAAUAAGCUAAUAACGGUGGAAAUCAGCCGGGAGUGAUGCAGAUGAUAAAGGAAAUAUACGAGAAAACAACAAAUAAUUACGAACAAUACGAAUAACAUUCGGAAAGAGAUUGGCUGAGAAACAACGAAGAUGGGACUGGAAAUUCAUUUGACUGUGAAACUUGUGAUCGACGUUUUAGCAAUUGUCGAUGAAGAUAUCAAGAAAAUCUUCAAAUCGUUAAAAAGUUACUCGAAGGAAAAUUAGCUCGGCAUGGCUCUUUUUCAUUACCUGGAAAAGAAGAAUAUAUCUCUUGGACGUGUUCAUCAGCCCAAUGUUACUUUAUAGAAUCGAGAUGUGACGACAGUAAGAAAAGGACGAAAUGGCAAUAGGAUUGUAUAGAAAUAUUCCAGAUUACACGUGGAGAUUGGAAUCAAGCAUAGCGAGAAUAGGCAUACAAACCAAACAGAGAACCGAUAAGUAUGCAUACUGAUCAUAGUUAAAAUGAAAGAAAACAAUGAUUUAGGAUUUGCCUAAAAGAAGAUUUGAGGGUACAAAAUGGCAAAUCUUUAGAAUGGGAAACAGAGUCUGUUAAAGCUUUAGAACUAGGAAUAAAGCCAGCGUCAUCUGAUCAGGAAUACGACAUCCUAGAAAAUAAUGAAAACUAAAAAAUGUAAUGGAAAAUAUAUACGAAUAUAUAAAAAGAUGUUUAGAUUAUGAUUAGACUACGGAUAUUUAUGCAAAACAUUCUUAUAGACACAAAUAAAAAAUUUCGAUUUGAAUAGAAGAGUGUUACUCUUCAAAUAUAGUAAUCUUAUAUAUUAUAUUUUUGCAUAUCUUCACUUGUCAUAAAUGCAUACAUAUCUGCAUUUUAGUGAUAACGAAACGUUUAAGCGUCAUAAGUUUUUGAGGAAAUGAAAUAUCGUGUGAAGUAUUCAGUAUUCGAUAACUUUAUCUUACUACUUUUAUUCGCAGAAUAACUUAAGAAAUUAAUUCAUGGAAAAAAUUUUCCAAUUUACAAAAAAUAGUGCAAUUAACAUUUUGUGAAAAAGAUUCUACUACACGAUUAUAGAGCUCGUCAAACAGCACGAAAUUUUCCGUUAAGAUUUUUUCUAACUUCAUUUAGAGGAGGGAUAAUUAUAUAUAUAUAUAUAUAUAAUAUAUAUAUAAUAUAAUUUGGCUGAAAUGUUAGAAUUCAAAAGCAUUAUGUGUUAUGCAUUAUUCCCAAAAUAUAUCAUUCGACGAAAUCAUACAUUUCAGUUUAGUCGUUGUUAUUAAAAUAGUAUAAAUUAUGUCACGCAUUAUGAGUGAAUACGUGUAUGUGUACAUAUGUAUAUUUAACAAAAUUUCAAAUGGCAUUAUACUUUAUUUUUUGCCCCAAGUACAGCGCAUAAGGCGCAUUUUUCCUGAGAUGAAUAAAAGAUUGCAUGAAUUGUAUUAUAAUAACUUGUAACUUGGAUGGUAAGGUCGGAAUAUUCGGCCUAAAUAUUCGAUAUAUAAAGUAAUUGUAUCAAAAUAUUUAUCUAUAACUCUUCAUAAAAUACAGAAUGUUGGAUAUAAAAAUAUGUCUCUUUUUACCAUUUUUUACAUAUAAUAGGAAUUGUAGGUAUAUUUGUUAACUGUUACCAAAUACAUACAUAAACAUACAUAUAAGACUGAAAUACUAUUCAAUAUUUUCAUUGAAUGUAAUUAUACUUUUGAAAAUGUUAAAUAACUUCAUACAAAUAUAGUAUGUCUAUACAAAAAUUAGUGUACAUUGUUUCAAAUGAUAAUAAACAAUUAAAAGAGCAAUAGACAGCAAUAAAACAUUUCUUUUACUUUAU